rnacentral:rRNA from 1 species
AAACUUAAAGGAAUUGACGGGGCCGCACAAGCGGAGGAACAUGUGGUUAAUUCGAUGAUACGCGAGGAACCUUACCUGGGCUUAAAUGUAGAGUGCAUUUUUUAGAGAUAGAAAUUCCCUUCGGGGCUUUCUGCAAGGUGCUGCAUGGUUGUCGUCAGCUCGUGCCGUGAGGUGUCGGGUUAAGUCCCAUAACGAGCGCAACCCUUAUCGUUAGUUGCCAGCUGGUAAAGCAGGGGACUCUAGCGAAACUGCCACCGUAAGGUGAGAGGAAGGUGGGAUGACGUCAAAUCAGCACGGCCCUUAUGUCCAGGGCUACACACGUGUUACAAUGGCCGGCACAGAGGGCAGCUACCUGGUGACAGGAUGCUAAUCUCGAAAACCGGUCUCAGUUCGGAUCGAAGUCUGCAACUCGACUUCGUGAAGCUGGAUUCGCUAGUAAUCGCGCAUCAGCCAUGGCGCGGUGAAUACGUUCCCGGGCCUU